rnacentral:pre_miRNA from 1 species
CAACUACCCCCUCUGUCCCAAAUUUCUUGUCUGAGAUUUGUCUAGAUACGGAUGUAUCUAAUACUAAAAUGUGACUUGAUACAUCCGUAUCUAGACAAAUCUAAGACAAGAGUUUUGGGACGGAGGGAGUACUUU